rnacentral:misc_RNA from 1 species
UAAAGUGCGAUAUAUAGUGCGAUUUGCAUGAACCUGUGAGUCAUCGAGUUUUUGAACGCAACUUGCACCCGUAAGGGUAUGUCCCUUUGAGUACAGUAUCCACCAUGUUGGAUGAUGACUCUUGUGUUGUGUUAAUAUUUGACACAUAUAGUCAGUCUCAUCUUAAAGGUAGCGUAAGUUUCAUUAAGGAAUGGUAGCCACAAUUCAGCUAGAGUGUGUGUGUUAGUAGGUGCCUUUUAUUAGGCACACACAUACAUUAACUCUUGUUCUGUCCUACUAAUAUUACCUUACAUUCUAAUAUACCUGUCUCAGAGGGGCAAGAUUACCCGCUGAACUUAA